GCUCGCUUUGGCAGACAUAUACCAAAAUUAGAACAAUGGCCCCUGCAUGAGGAUGACAAGCAAAUCCGUGAAGUAUUCCAUGUUUUU
rnacentral:snRNA from 2 species